rnacentral:tRNA from 3 species
GAUGAGAUAGUUAAAUUGGUAUAACAGUAGAAUCAUAAUCUAUUAUCCAUAGGUUCGAAUCCUAUUCUCAUUA